rnacentral:rRNA from 1 species
GAUGAACGUUGGCGGCGUGCCUAACACAUGCAGGUCGAACGAAAGUAGCAAUACUUUAGUGGCGCACGGGUGAGUAACACGUAGCUUACCUCCCUCUCAGCGCGGGAUAACGACUCGAAAGAGUUGCUAAUACCGCAUAAGCUCACGGGUUCUAGAGACUUGUGAGAAAAGGUGCAAAUCACUGAGAGACGGGGCUGCGGCCCAUCAGCUAGUUGGCGCGGAAAGGCGCACCAAGGCGACGACGGGUAGGGACCUGAGAGGGUCGA